AUUGAACGCUGGCGGCAGGCCUAACACAUGCAAGUCGAGCGGUAACACAGGGAGCUUGCUCCCGGGUGACGAGCGGCGGACGGGUGAGUAAUGUCUGGGAAACUGCCUGAUGGAGGGGGAUAACUACUGGAAACGGUAGCUAAUACCGCAUAACGUCGCAAGACCAAAGAGGGGGACCUUCGGGCCUCUUGCCAUCAGAUGUGCCCAGAUGGGAUUAGCUAGUAGGUGGGGUAAUGGCUCACCUAGGCGACGAUCCCUAGCUGGUCUGAGAGGAUGACCAGCCACACUGGAACGGAGACACGGUCCAGACUCCUACGGGAGGCAGCAGUGGGGAAUAUUGCACAAUGGGCGCAAGCCUGAUGCAGCCAUGCCGCGUGUAUGAAGAAGGCCUUCGGGUUGUAAAGUACUUUCAGCGGGGAGGAAGGUGCUGAGGUUAAUAACCUCAGCAAUUGACGUUACCCGCAGAAGAAGCACCGGCUAACUCCGUGCCAGCAGCCGCGGUAAAAC
rnacentral:rRNA from 1 species